GAAGGCUGAAAUUCGCCUUCAUGAAGCUGGAAUUGCUAGUAAUGGCAGGUCAGCAUACUGCCGUGAAUACGUUCCCGGGCCUUGUACACACCGCCGUCACACCAUGGGAGUCGGUAACACCCGAAGUCGGUAGCCUAACCGUAAGGAGGGCGCCGCCGAAGGUGGGAUUGAUGACUGGGGUGAAGUCGUAACAAGGUAUC
rnacentral:rRNA from 1 species